rnacentral:rRNA from 1 species
GAUGAACGCUGGCGGCGUGCCUAAUACAUGCAAGUCGAGCGAACGGACGAGAAGCUUGCUCCUCUGACGUUAGCGGCGGACGGGUGAGUAACACGUGGAUAACCUACCUAUAAGACUGGGAUAACUUCGGGAAACCGGAGCUAAUACCGGAUAAUAUUUUGAACCGCAUGGUUCAAUAGUGAAAGACGGUCUUGCUGUCACUUAUAGAUGGAUCCGCGCUGCAUUAGCUAGUUGGUAAGGUAACGGCUUACCAAGGCAACGAUGCAUAGCCGACCUGAGAGGGUGAUCGGCCACACUGGAACUGAGACACGGUCCAGACUCCUACGGGAGGCAGCAGUAGGGAAUCUUCCGCAAUGGGCGAAAGCCUGACGGAGCAACGCCGCGUGAGUGAUGAAGGUCUUCGGAUCGUAAAACUCUGUUAUUAGGGAAGAACAAAUGUGUAAGUAACUGUGCACAUCUUGACGGUACCUAAUCAGAAAGCCACGGCUAACUACGUG